CCUUAAGCAGCUCAACGAGCACUGGCCUUUUAAGCCAGAGGAGGGACCAUAGACCCCUUAAGGC
rnacentral:tRNA from 1 species